rnacentral:rRNA from 1 species
UUACUGUAAACGGCCGCCCUAGCGUGAGGGUGCGAAGGUAGCGAAAUUCCUUGCCUUUUGAUUGUGGGCCUGCAUGAAUGGUUUAACGAGGGUUUGACUGUCUCUAAGUUUUUUAUUGAAAUUGUAUUGAAGGUGAAGAUACCUUCAUUUAAAAGUUAGACAAAAAGACCCCGUGCAACUUUGAAAAUUGGCUUUAUUCAGAGGUAAAAGAUUUUUAGGUGGGGCGCCUAGAAAGUAAGUCUAACCUUUCUGAAUAAUUAGUUCUUUCCGGAUUUGACCCGAUUAUAUUCGAUCAUAGGAGAAGCUACGCCGGGGAUAACAGGCCGAUCCUUUAGUAGAGCUCGUAUUGGCUAAAGGGAUUGGCACCUCGAUGUUGAAUCAGGGAUGACACCUUCAAGGCGUAGAGGCUUUGAGAGUAGGUCUGUUCGACCUUUAAUACCCUACGUGAUCUGA